GACAGAGGAUGCAAGCGUUAUCCGGAAUGAUUGGGCGUAAAGCGUCUGUAGGUGGCUUUUUAAGUCCGCCGUCAAAUCCCAGGGCUCAACCCUGGACAGGCGGUGGAAACUACCAAGCUGGAGUACGGUAGGGGCAGAGGGAAUUUCCGGUGGAGCGGUGAAAUGCGUAGAGAUCGGAAAGAACACCAACGGCGAAGGCAGCUCGCUGGGACGGUACUGACGCUGAGACGCGAAAGCGUGGGGAGCAAACAGG
rnacentral:rRNA from 1 species